GAAAGAAGAAACUUCCAUAGGCGCGGUCAGGCGCGGUUACGAAGAGUCACUGGAAGCGGAAAGAGAGGACUUUGACCCUGAGAGGAGGGUCUCUUCGUCGGACCUGAGCCCGGUCUCAUCCAAGGCCUCUUCGGUUGAUAUUGUCGGCUGACCCUUAGGGGUUGGUAGCCCAUACGGCUCGCCCGGCUUCUUCGGGGCAGGUACGUGGGGUGUAGUACAGCAGGGGGAGUGGGAGGUGCCGUCCCCUGCCCCGAGGUGGAUACCGGAGGGCCAGCAUCCUCCCUGCGGUUGGGACGUGGCACCACCGGCGCCAGUCCCGUGGGCUUCAAAGGGGACUUGGACGGGAGACGCAGAUCGUCCAGAGACGUCUGGGUUCCCAACGAUGCCAUCGUUGGUUGUGCUAGUACCCUACGCACGACCUCGGCAUACCCGCUGUUUCAGAGGAGACGUUUCUUUGCCUCGAGGUACAAGAUGUUUCCAUUCACCUUCGAUAUAUCUGCAGCAUGCUCUUUACUAGAGCACUUGGCGCAUGUCUCGGCUCCUCUACAGCUCCGCAACCCAUGGUUGAACUGUUGGCACUUGAAGCACUGCCGAGGGUUUGGCACUGGAGGGUGAUGCGAUGUGCACCUCCAAUCCCUUGACUGGAGAGAUCCUCACAGAGCUCUUCCUCGGAUGUUUCGAGCAAGUCAUUCUCGGAGAAAACUCACUGAACGGAGCUCAGCUUGUGGGAGCUCCCGGCGGACCUCGCGGGACUGUCGGGCCUUCCCUCCUCCGAGCGGGUGGCCGUCUGGUCAAGCAGUCCUGGAUCGGACUCCGGGCGACGGGUCGAGUUGUGGCGUGAGCUCGUCCGAUCGACAAUGACUCGACGCUAGCGAUUCCCCGUUGGCGAACCCGGCACAGCGACCGCCCUCACUGGUAGCCGUGGGAUGUGCGGUGGGACGAGCAUUGACGUUCCCCUCGCCACUGCGUGGUUUCCGGACAAAAAGGCCAAGGUGUCCCCUUAACAUACAAAGCGGUUUACAGGCAGAGAAAUAAAGUGAGAAGGCUCUGACCAUCCAG